GGGAGGUAGUGACAAUAAAAUAACAAUACGGGGUUCUUUCGGAUUUCGUAAUUGGAAUGAGUACAAUUUAAAUCUCUUAACGAGGAACAAUUGGAGGGCAAGUCUGGUGCCAGCAGCCGCGGUAAUUCCAGCUCCAAUAGCGUAUAUUAAAGUUGCUGCAGUUAAAAAGCUCGUAGUUGAAUUUCGGGACUAUCAUGUCGGUCGUGCCUCGGUACGUACUGGUAUUGUUGGUUUCUCCCUUUUGACGAACCAUGAUGUCAUUUAUUUGGUGUUGUGGGGAAUCAGGACUGUUACUUUGAAAAAUUAGAGUGUUUAAAGCAGGCUCACGCUUGAAUACAUUAGCAUGGAAUAAUGAAAUAGGACGUUUGAUUCUAUUUUGUUGGUUUCUAGGAUCGACGUAAUGAUUAAUAGGGAUAGUUGGG
rnacentral:rRNA from 1 species